rnacentral:rRNA from 1 species
GACGAACGCUGGCGGCGUGCUUAACACAUGCAAGUCGAACGGAAAGGCCCUGCUUUUGUGGGGUGCUCGAGUGGCGAACGGGUGAGUAGCACGUGAGUAACCUGCCCUUGACUUUGGGAUAACUUCAGGAAACUGGGGCUAAUACCGGAUAGGAGCUCCUGCUGCAUGGUGGGGGUUGGAAAGUUUCGGCGGUUGGGGAUGGACUCGCGGCUUAUCAGCUUGUUGGUGGGGUAGUGGCUUACCAAGGCCUUGACGGGUAGCCGGCCUGAGAGGGUGACCGGCCACAUUGGGACUGAGAUACGGCCCAGACUCCUACGGGAGGCAGCAGUGGGGAAUAUUGCACAAUGGGCGGAAGCCUGAUGCAGCAACGCCGCGUGUGGGAUGACGGCCUUCGGGUUGUAAACCGCUUUCGCCUGUGACGAAGCGUGAGUGACGGUAAUGGGUAAAGAAGCACCGGCUAACUACGUG